AUCAUUUCUCUGCUUUCUGGCUAAGAUCAAGCAUAAUAAAUGUUCUUAUCAGUUUAAUAUCUGAUACGCUCCCUAUCUGGGGGCCAUAUAUGAAAUGGAUUUUUAGCACAGGGAGAUGGAAGAAGAGCUUGCUCUGUCCACUCCACGCAUUGACCUGGUAUUGCAGUACUUCCAGGACCCAUGUACCUUUU